UUUUCGAUACAGAAUGAUAAAGCGUUUUGUAACGUGGAUAACGAUUCGGAUUACUCGAGAGUUUUCGUAGGAAACGUCACCAUUGGAAAAGCGAAAGACUAGAUUCAUUGUGACACAGUCAACAUGCCAUGGAUUGAGGGUAUAGGAGAUGAAGUGACCAUUGGUGUUUCAGUUCUUCUAGGUCUUUGUAUACUGUUUGUUGCCUGGCUGUCUACAGGAAUAAGAGAGAUACCAUUUAUUAGUGUGAUUAUUGUGCAGCUGACUCGACGCAGAGAAGUGCAAACUGAAAAUAGCAAUACAAAUUCCAACACUGAAAAUGUAGAAUCUGUAAACAAUUCAAGUGGAGACAAUGCUGAAAAUGCAGAUCAAGGGGAGGCAACUCCAUCUACAAGUGAGACUGUAGUUGACUCCAGUAAGGAUACUGCUGGUAGGACAGAAGUUGAAAAGGAGAAUACAAGGGAAAAAUCAGAACCGGUUGCUUCUGGAAGUGUCUCAGAUUUGGGAAAUUAUAUCACAGAAACAGGAGAAGUGCAUAAAGAUUCUAAACAGACAAAUAAUGAAACAGAUAACACUGAUUUAGAUACUGUUGAUAACACUGAACAAGAAACUGAUGUCUCUAAUGAAGCUGUCAGCACGGAAUUUGAGCCUGAAAUUUGUCCUGUUUCAAAUACAGAACUUAGAGAAAGAAGAAUUAAUUUCUUUUCUAGCCAGACACCAGGGAAAGUGCCUUGUGACAAUCAGUCGUUGAAUCAGUCUGAAGAGAAAUGUCCUGAAAGUGAUAGAACAAACAGUGAAAGUAAACCUUCCAGUGACGUAAAGCCAAAAUCUUUGUCCAAACUUGCUUCUGAUCUUUUAUCUGAACCCUUACUCUCAAACAACAGCCCUAGUAAUGAUUCUGUCAGUGUUAAUAGUGAACCCGCAGAUACCAGCAUUAACAGGGAUUCUACUGAACAAUCUGGUUCCCAGUCUGAAACAGGAAGUGGUUUGCAGGAUCCUGGGUUGGAACCUGGCGAAAUAAGAGUGAGGAUAAAAUUCCUUAAUGAUACCCAGAGAUUGGUGACUGCUCUUGCAACAGAAACUAUUGGCAACUUCAGAAGGAGACAUUUUUCGAUGGAACUAUCCCAAUCAAAGUUAGUGCGUUUUAUUUUUAAUGGACAAGACUUACGCAAUGACUCUUCAACAUUACAGAGCUACAAUAUCGGUGAUAAUAGUGUCCUUCACUGUUUAGUAACGCAACCACCUGCGGAACAGCAUGCUGGUAACCAUGGUGAUGACGAGGGAUUAGAUAUUGGCGUCUUUAUGUUUCCCUUAUUUGGCCUUCUACUUGGCAUUGUUUGGUAUAUGCGAUUCAUGUAUCGUCAGUUCUUCAAUGUGACGUCGACGUUGACACUAGGCGGAAUAACUUUCUUGUUUUUAGCCGCGUUCAUGUCUUACGUUAGAGGGCAGAGGAAUCAUGAACAUAUUGAUUGAUGCUUGUAGCUUGUGUUAAAGCCAUUUAUUUACAGACGGGGUUAAAUUGUUCAGUAUUUUAUCACCUUAACAGAGAGUGACAAAAAUGCAUCAUUUUUCAUUAAUUCACAUAACAAAAGAAAAUGAAAAUUGACAUUAUAAUUACUGGUUUGCUUGUGAGCCAGGUGAACAAAGUAUUUAGUGAACAGCGAUACUUUUGAAUAAUAAAAAUCAUAAUAAUACCAAAAGCAGCUUUAGCUAUAUACAUAUUUAGUUACUGGCUAUUUUUUGUCGAGCCCACUUGCAGAAGCGAAGACACAGUGGUCCAAAUGACUGUUCGGUGUAUGCGUCUGUCCAUCCGGAUUUGUUUGUCCAGACCAUAACUUUGACAUGCAUGGAGCAAUCUUGUUUAUAUUUGGCAUGAAUGUUAACCUCAGUGAGAUGGAGUGUCAUGCACAAUUCCCAGGGUCCUAUCUCAGA
rnacentral:misc_RNA from 1 species